ACCGUACUCCUACGGGAGGCAGCAGUGGGGAAUAUUGCGCAAUGGGGGCAACCCUGACGCAGCCAUGCCGCGUGAAUGAAGAAGGCCUUCGGGUUGUAAAGUUCUUUCGGUAGCGAGGAAGGCAUUUAGUUUAAUAGACUAGGUGAUUGACGUUAACUACAGAAGAAGCACCGGCUAACUCCGUGCCAGCAGCCGCGGUAAUACGGAGGGUGCGAGCGUUAAUCGGAAUAACUGGGCGUAAAGGGCACGCAGGCGGUGACUUAAGUGAGGUGUGAAGGCCCCGGGCUUAACCUGGGAAUUGCAUUUCAUACUGGGUCGCUAGAGUACUUUAGGGAGGGGUAGAAUUCCACGUGUAGCGGUAAAAUGCGUAGAGAUGUGGAGGAAUACCGAAGGCGAAGGCAGCCCCUUGGGAAUGUACUGACGCUUAUGUGCGAAAGCGUGGGGAGCAAACAGGAUUAGAAACCCCUGUAGUCCUUGAC
rnacentral:rRNA from 1 species